rnacentral:rRNA from 1 species
GACCUGACUGCUAUCGGAUUGAUACUAAGCCAUGCGAGUCUUUGCAGUAAUGCAAGGCAUACGGCUCAGUAACACGUAGUCAACUUACCCUAUGGACGAGGAUAAUCUCGGGAAACUGAGCAUAAUACUCGAUAGAUCAUAAUGCCUGGAAUGGUUUAUGGUUGAAACGAUUCGUCGCCAUAGGAUAGGACCGCGGCCUAUCAGCUUGUUGGUGAGGUAAUGGCCCACCAAGGCGAUUACAGGUACGGGCUCUGAGAGGAGAAGCCCGGAGAUGGGUACUGAGACAAGGACCCAGGCCCUAUGGGGCGCAGCAGGCGAGAAAACUUUGCAAUGUGCGAAAGCACGACAAGGUUAAUCCGAGUGAUUUCUGCUAAAGAAAUCUUUUGCAAGUCAUAAAACCACUAGUGAAUAAGGGGUGGGCAAGUUCUGGUGUCAGCCGCCGCGGUAAAACCAGCACCUCAAGUGGUCAGGAGGAUUAUUGGGCCUAAAGCAUCCGUAGCCGGCUCUGUAAGUUUUCGGUUAAAUCCAUGUGCUCAACGCAUGGGCUGUCGAAAAUACUGCAUAGCUAGGGAGUGGGAGAGGUAGACGGUACUCGGUAGGAAGGGGUAAAAUCCUUUGAUCUAUCGAUGACCACCUGUGGCGAAGGCGGUCUACCAGAACACGUUCGACGGUGAGGGAUGAAAGCUGGGGGAGCAAACCGGAUUAGAUACCCGGGUAGUCCCAGCUGUAAACGAUGCAGACUCGAUGAUGCAUUGGCAUAUAGCCAGUGCAGUGUCGCAGGGAAGCCGUUAAGUCUGCCGCCUGGGAAGUACGUACGCAAGUAUGAAACUUAAAGGAAUUGGCGGGGGAGCACCACAAGGGGUGAAGCCUGCGGUUCAAUUGGAUUCAACGC